UCCAACUCCUACGGGAGGCAGCAGUGAGGAAUAUUGGUCAAUGGCCGAGAGGCUGAACCAGCCAAGUCGCGUGAGGGAUGACGGCCCUACGGGUUGUAAACCUCUUUUGUCGGGGAGCAAAGAGAGUCACGUGUGGCUCAUUGAGAGUACCCGAAGAAAAAGCAUCGGCUAACUCCGUGCCAGCAGCCGCGGUAAUACGGAGGAUGCGAGCGUUAUCCGGAUUUAUUGGGUUUAAAGGGUGCGCAGGCGGAGGUGCAAGUCAGUGGUCAAAUUGCGGGGCUCAACCCCGUACUGCCGUUGAAACUGCAUCCCUUGAGUGCGCGAGAAGUAUGCGGAAUGCGUGGUGUAGCGGUGAAAUGCAUAGAUAUCACGCAGAACUCCGAUUGCGAAGGCAGCAUACCGGCGCGCAACUGACGCUCAUGCACGAAAGCGUGGGUAUCGAACAGGAUUAGAUACCCCCGUA
rnacentral:rRNA from 1 species